rnacentral:rRNA from 1 species
GACGUAGGUGGCGAACGUUAUCCGGAAUCAUUGGGCGUAAAGCGCGUGUAGGCGGUCCGGUAAGUCCGCUGUGAAAGUCGGGGGCUCAACCCUCGGAUGCCGGUGGAUACUGUCGGGCUUGAGUACGGAAGAGGCGAGUGGAAUUCCUGGUGUAGCGGUGAAAUGCGCAGAUAUCAGGAGGAACACCAAUUGCGAAGGCAGCUCGCUGGGACGUUACUGACGCUGAGACGCGAAAGCGUGGGGAGCAAACAGG